AUGUUUGUGUCGGAGUCAGAGAGCCGUGUCUCUCUACAGUCAGAGGUUUUUGUACGACGCCUCAAUCAGUUUGUAUCACUGUGGUACACGUUCGGUGGAGGAACCAGACUGGAUGUUGGAAGUGAUACUCGUCCCACCCUGACUGUGCUGCCCCCCUCCAGUGAGGAGCUGCUGCAGGGGAAGGCCACCCUCAUGUGUCUGGCCAACAAGGGCUUCCCCUCAGACUGGAGUCUGUCCUGGAAGGUGGACGGCAGCAGCAGCAGCAGCAGCAGCUGGGAGCAGAGCAGGAGCCCCGGGGUGCUGCAGAAGGACGGCCUCUACAGCUGGAGCAGCACCCUGAGGCUCCCUGCAGACCAGUGGAGGAAGGUGGGCUCUGUGACCUGUGAGGCCACCCAGGGCUCCCAGACUGCAGUCACAGAGACACUGAGAAGAGACCAGUGUUCCCAGUCCUGAGCUGAUUCAUGGAUUUUCUAAUGUUAUUUUCUGCUACAGAUCACUUGCUUUAGAAAAUCUUUGUUGGAUUUUUUUAUCAGAAUCUCUGUUAUUUGUUCAGAAGCUUAAGUUCUAUUAAAACACAAUAAAUU